CUUUCCUGGCCUGGAAACACCACAAUGGUGGGAAAGGACCCUGGGGUGCAGGAAAUCCGGAGGCUCUGUUAAAAUCCACAGCUGACCCAAGCUUGUACUGAGGGAGACUGCAGCUCCUUGCUGUUUAAAUGAUCAUGUGUCCUUUCCAGACAGGGAGCAACACGAGGACAGGACGGCAUCUUGUUUACCUUUGUACUCUCUGCUAAGAAGCACCUCCAUUCUGGGUAUGUGGAUACCUGGGAAUAUGAAGAAAGUUUG